GGAGACCAUCUCUCUGGAUUCCAGAAGGCAUGAGGACCCAGAUGCUAUACAGUGGGAAAACCAGCCUGGCAACAUAAGCUCACAAGCUAUCAGAAAGUUGUAUGGCAACCACCUCCGGCGCCAAAUAGAACUGGCAGACAUAGACAUUCAGUACAAGAAGAAAAAGAUGGAAAAUCUUGCACUGGAGUCCGAAAUAAAAAGAGGACAAUUAGGAAACUGGACCUUGAAAAAAAAA